GACGAACUGUCCAAACGUUGUUCGGAAUCACUGGGCUUAAAGGGCGCGUAGGCGGUCAAACAAGUCAGGGGUGAAAUCCUGCAGCUCAACUGUAGAAGUGCCUCUGAUACUGUUUGUCUGGAGGGAGAUAGGGGUGUGCGGAACUUCCAGUGGAGCGGUGAAAUGCGUUGAUAUUGGAAGGAACGCCGGAGGCGAAAGCGGCGCACUGGAUCUCUUCUGACGCUGAGGCGCGAAAGCUAGGGGAGCAAACGGG
rnacentral:rRNA from 1 species